AGAGUUUGAUCAUGGCUCAGGAUGAACGCUGGCGGCGUGCCUAAUACAUGCAAGUCGAGCGGUCCUUCCUUCGGGAAGGACAGCGGCGAACGGGUGAGUAACACGUGGGCAACCUGCCCGCAAGACCGGGAUAACUCCGGGAACCGGAGCUAAUACCGGAUACCUCUUCCGCCGCAUGCGGAAGAGUAAAAGGCGGCUUCGGCUGCCGCUUGCGGAUGGGCCCGCGGCGCAUUAGCUUGUUGGUGAGGUAACGGCUCACCAAGGCGACGAUGCGUAGCCGACCUGAGAGGGUGAUCGGCCACACUGGGACUGAGACACGGCCCAGACUCCUACGGGAGGCAGCAGUAGGGAAUUUUCCGCAAUGGGCGAAAGCCUGACGGAGCAACGCCGCGUGAGUGAGGACGGCCUUCGGGUUGUAAAACUCUGUUCUUGGGGAAGAAAUCCCGGGAGGCGAACAACAUCCCGGACUGACGGUACCCAAGGAGAAAGCCCCGGCUAACUACGUGCCAGCAGCCGCGGUAAUACGUAGGGGGCGAGCGUUAUCCGGAAUUACUGGGCGUAAAGCGCGCGCAGGCGGCCUGUUAAGUCGGGUGUGAAAGGCUGCGGCUCAACCGCAGAGCGGCAUCCGAAACUGGCGGGCUUGAGUGCAGGAGAGGGAAGCGGAAUUCCCGGUGUAGCGGUGGAAUGCGUAGAGAUCGGGAGGAACACCUGUGGCGAAAGCGGCUCACUGGACCACAACUGACGCUGAUGCACGAAAGCUAGGGGAGCAAACAGGAUUAGAUACCCUAGUAGUCC
rnacentral:rRNA from 1 species